UGGUGGAGCGAUUUGUCUGGUCAAUUCCGAUAACAAACGAGACUCUAGCCUACUAAAUAGUUCGGGGACCCCCACAAAGGGCCCCCACUUCAUAGAGGGACAGGUGGCGUUUAGCCACACGAGAUUGAGCAAUAACA
rnacentral:rRNA from 1 species